CCUACGGGUGGCAGCAGUCGAGAAUCAUUCACAAUGGGGGAAACCCUGAUGGUGCGACGCCGCGUGGGGGAAUGAAGGUCUUCGGAUUGUAAACCCCUGUCAUGUGGGAGCAAAUUAAAAAGAUAGUACCACAAGAGGAAGAGACGGCUAACUCUGUGCCAGCAGCCGCGGUAAUACAGAGGUCUCAAGCGUUGUUCGGAAUCACUGGGCGUAAGGCGUGCGUAGGCUGUUUCGUAAGCCGUGUGUGAAAGGCGCGGGCUCAACCCGCGGACGGCACUUGAUACUGCGAGACUAGAGUAAUGGAGGGGGAACCGGAAUUCUCGGUGUAGCAGUGAAAUGCGUAGAUAUCGAGAGGAACACUCGUGGCGAAGGCGGGUUCCUGGACAUUAACUGACGCUGAGGCACGAAGGCCAGGGGAGCGAAAGGGAUUAGAUACCCUUGUAGUC
rnacentral:rRNA from 1 species